CAAAAACAGUCCAGUCCUUAAGGGGUUAACUUCUGUUUGGCGUUUCCUUGCUUAAAUAUACAUAGUUUAACUUUUAAACGUAUUAUUUCAUUUAGUAGCUGCUAAACUGCAAACCGUGCUUAUACAGUAUGACUACGAUAGCAUAGCAGAACUAGCAUUAAUAACUAAUCGUCAGUUUAUAUCAUUGUAUGUUAGCUAAUCUUACUUCAUCAAUCUGUCUAAUUAAGCAUGCUUAAAAAAACAUAAAAUUG